GCAGGCCUAACACAUGCAAGUCGAGCGGUAGAGAGAAGCUUGCUUCUCUUGAGAGCGGCGGACGGGUGAGUAAUGCCUAGGAAUCUGCCUGGUAGUGGGGGAUAACGUUCGGAAACGGACGCUAAUACCGCAUACGUCCUACGGGAGAAAGCAGGGGACCUUCGGGCCUUGCGCUAUCAGAUGAGCCUAGGUCGGAUUAGCUAGUUGGUGAGGUAAUGGCUCACCAAGGCGACGAUCCGUAACUGGUCUGAGAGGAUGAUCAGUCACACUGGAACUGAGACACGGUCCAGACUCCUACGGGAGGCAGCAGUGGGGAAUAUUGGACAAUGGGCGAAAGCCUGAUCCAGCCAUGCCGCGUGUGUGAAGAAGGUCUUCGGAUUGUAAAGCACUUUAAGUUGGGAGGA
rnacentral:rRNA from 1 species